UGUAAACCUGAAAUGAAGAUAUUCUCUUCUCAAGACA
rnacentral:tRNA from 1 species